rnacentral:rRNA from 1 species
UACGUAGGGUGCAAGCGUUAUCCGGAAUCACUGGGUUUAAAGGGUGCGUAGGCGGCUUAGUAAGUCAGUUGUGAAAGACUGUGGCUUAACCAUGGAAUUGCCAUUGAUACUGCUGAGCUUGAAUCAGGUUGAGGUUGGCGGAAUGUGACAUGUAGCGGUGAAAUGCUUAGAUAUGUCAUGGAACACCGAUUGCGAAGGCAGCUGACUGGACCUGUAUUGACGCUGAGGCACGAAAGCGUGGGGAGCGAACAGG